UACGAGAGGCCCAAACGUUAUUCAGAUUUACUGGGCUUAAAGAGUUCGUAGGCGGUUCGACAAGUGAGGUGUGAAAUCCCUCGGCUUAACCGAGGAAUUGCGCUUCAAACUGUCGGGCUCGAGGGAGAUAGAGGUGAGCGGAACUGAUGGUGGAGCGGUGAAAUGCGUUGAUAUCAUCAGGAACACCAGAGGCGAAGGCGGCUCACUGGGUCUUUUCUGACGCUGAGGAACGAAAGCUAGGGGAGCAAACGGG
rnacentral:rRNA from 1 species